GGCAGUUCUCGGGUGAUGCACCCUGGAAUUGGGCUCCCUCCUCUCUGGUUCUGGGUGCGUCACCUGAGAACCACA
rfam:Myotis davidii contig100964, whole genome shotgun sequence.